UUCAGCAUUGGGACGAGACAACACCACGUGGUGAAAAUGCACUUUGUAGGACGUGUUUUCACCCUCUCUCUUGCACGUCACCUGCAAGCGCGUCCUACAAGACGCAUUUUUACCCUCCCUCGUGCCAUGUCACCUGAAAGUGCAUCUUACACGUCAUAUUUUUGCUUUCUCUCUUCAAAAUUUGUCUAUUUCUUUAAUUUCCAAAUAAAACAGCUUAAAAACCUAAUUGUUCUUUUAAACCGAUAUAUAUGCCUAAUUUUACCAAAUAUGUUAUAAGAAAUAAAUCUCAUAAAUUUUUUUGAAUAUAUAAUUCUCAUAAUUUAUGGUUUAAAAGAAAAAAUAGAAUCACUUCUUUUUACACUUCCUUUUUAAAAAAAAAAAAACAAACAAGAAUUUCUCAAACAACAAUAUAAACUAUUACUUCUAAUAAAUUUUUUCCACUUUAAUUAAUUUGGAUAAAAUAUUUUAAGCAUAAAACCAAAAAUUUGUCUAGGAUCUGAAAUUAAUUCUAUCAAUCAGACAAGUGAAAUUGAAUUAAGAUUAGUGACUUGAGAGAUUAACUUUGAAUUUAUUUAUUUCCUAUUGCUACUGACAUUGUUGUUAUUUUAUUCACUUUAUUGACAUGCUCUGCUUAUUUCUCCAAUAGGUUGUAACAAUGGUAACUUUUAUUAGAAAGCAGAUAUUGGAAUCACCAUGGGAUUUGGAACAGCUGUUUCAAAAUUAUGCAUCAUUUGCCUCUCUCAUGUUGAUUUUCAUUUUUUUCAUCAGUGGUAGGAUGUCUAAAAUCAUAAUCUUAUAAAAUACCAAAAAUAUGGGAUCUAGUUUCUACAUUAGUAGGAUCAAUAAUCCUUUUCACUCUGAUGUUGUUGAAGUUAAAGUGAUUCCCAUUUUAUCUGAUACAUGUUCACUUUGAUGUUAUUUGAUUCUGUCAUAAUCCUCUUUUACCUGUUAUCAGUUCACUAUUGAUUCUGUCAUGGCCUCAGUGCCAGAAGUUGCUUUGAUCAUAAAUCCUUGAAACGCUCUUAAUAAUUUCCCCAGUUUUAAGUUCAAAUUAAUUGAUGAGUUUCACCUCGGCUGUUAGAGUAUAAGAAUAAGUUAGGUUGUUAUCAUUCUGUUAUACAAACUGAUAUAUUGUUAGUAGAUUGGUUAGCAGCAGUUAGUCACACUCACCCAAGUAUACAAGUUCUAUUCCUAUACUAAUCCAAGCAAGUUAAUAAUACAAAUAAUAUAUAGUCAUUCAUUCAAUAUUCCAAAGUUACUCUUUGUUAUUCAGUUUUCAUAUAGUUACUAACAUGGUAUCAGACACCUGAUUUCUUGGAGCUUCUUCCCGUUGUCGAUCCAUAGGCAAUUCCGCUGAUUCUACCGCUACUGACUGUGGCAGUCCAACGUUCUCCAGCUCUCGUUUGGUUCAGACGUUUCCUCGUCAUGAUACGGUAAAGUUGGAUGAAGGAAAUUUUGUGCAAUGGCAACAACAUAUCUGAUUAAUAAUUGAAGGAUAUGAACUGCUAGGAUAUUUAGAAGGGACGUUACCUGCUUUGCCUUGAUUUGUCUCUUCUUCAGAUGGAGUUUUUAACUCCGAAUCUCGAUGCUCAAGAAAUGGGUAAUGUCUGUCAAAUAAUAUGUUGCUAAAAUACAGAAUACCUGCGUGUUGCUCAAGGCGUCUGGAUCUGCAAUACCGGAGGCAGAGAAGGUGGAGAUCAUCCUUACUAGACUCUCGUCGGGCAAUGACGUUGUUCUAACCUUGGCCUCAUUCUCGACUGAAGCCCUUCAUUUACAAAAGCUUAUCGAUGUGCCUAUGGAGUUUGAAAGUCGUCAAGCUCGCGCAGUAACCGACGCGUCCUUUCAUACGCAUAGUGAGGCCGCUCCGACGACACCGACAACAGACUACGUGCGUGGUGGUCAUCCACCUUCUACUGCUCGUGGGCAAGGUUUUUAGACUCGGCUUCAGUGCCAAAUCUUCGGUAGAUAUGGGCAUAUGGCGCAACGAUGUUAUUAUAGGUUUGAUCGCGAAUACGGUAGCUCAUCUACUUCGACCAUGGCGACGGCGUCGUCUGGACGUGCUGGUCAAGGUUCGCACGAAGACACCUUUGGCGAGCCUGGCUAGUGUUCGUUGGCUUACGGUGGUCCGAUCUCCUUCGGUGGUCCUGGGCAGUACAUCGGUCCUUCGGUGGC
rnacentral:lncRNA from 1 species